GAAUCGAGGCUGCUAUUGUCUGACGUCUUAUCCAACUGAGGGGCCAGAAAUGAGAUCCUUCUAGAACUUCGCUCAAUCCCUCUACAAGAGAAGGGAAAAUCAGGGACCAAAAUGAAUAAAGGAAGGCCGCAGUCCUGGACGCUUCCGGUGAAGACUUCUUCCCUUUUCUCAUCCUACUGAGCACCCUAGGUCCUCCUGAAGUGAGUCUAUAUGAUUUCACCCACAUCACAGGCCUGAGGACUCCUGGUAUGUCACAGAAGUAUGGUUCCUGCUCUCGAAGAACUAUUUCAGUUUCCCGGGGAAGACAAGCAAACACAGGACGAAGAUAGAAAUCAUAAUAGGGGAGAACAUGUACAGCUGCACCUGAUAACAGCAAGAGAAUGGAAAAAUGAAUGACUAAGUGGAGCAGACUCAAAUUACAACAGCUUGAUCCUUGGAGAGGUGGGCAGGACAGAACUUGGAGGAGAAGGCUAACCUGCUAUAUAAGAGCCUGGACCCUGACCUUCUGAAGAGUUUUAUUGUCUGUGAAGGGGAUCAAGACUCUGAAGACAGUCUAAACUGUGGGGUGUUUACAAGAAAAGAUUUUGAAGACUUUGCAGUUGCUUCAUAAUUUUCAUUGCAACAAACUCAAUUACAUAUUUUCUCAAAUGAUCUUUCUCACAAGUCAAGGUUUUGCCUCAGUUUAUGCAUUCUUUCAAAU